AUGAAACAAGAUAUUCGCAGGAAAGCCACGGUGUCGAACAUAACAGGAUGUCUGCUCUUCCUACAGGUUUUCUAUCUAGACAACAUUCAGUUGGGGGACUUAAGCAUGACACAUGAUGUGUUCCCCAGAAUUAAAGCUUUCACCGCGGAUAAAAUUAGAGCCAUGAUCAAUGCCGACAAAAGGCCAAUGGAUUCAUCGAAAAACGGAGAUUUCAUUUAUGGAAUUCCAGCACCACGUGAUGCUGAUAGUUCAGCAUAUUCUAGGGCAGAUGACGAAGAUAAUGCGCAACAAGGGGGGGAUGCUUGGGCAUGUGCAACCAAGAUUUGUGAUGCUAUGGGCUUGACGCAUCAGGCCAAACUUAACCUAUAUAAUGAGCUGACAGCACACCAAGAGGGCAUCAUUAAACAGGUUCAAGUUAUGAAUGCAAAAUUUUAUGGGAAGAUAUACAAAAUGUUGAAUGACAACAGCUUUACACGUAAUAAGGGUGUGAUGCAUGCAUCUGGGUUGACGAUUGUAAGUAGAAACAACAAUGCCACGAAAUCGUCAACAGUGGAGGCUGAUAUGGCUUCUGAUGAUGUGAGCAGCCCAGAAAAGAGGAACGAUGAAGCUUUCGUUCUCCAUAUGCAAAAUAAACGCCCUCGUGUGGAUAUCGAUGCAACAAGCAACGCAGUAGCAUCGCAACAUGGUGGGGGGCUGAGAUCUAAUUCUGAGAUGGAUGUCGAUCUCAAUGUGGCCGACCUGCUGGCUAGUACGCCUGAGGGGAACACAAUGGAUGUUAGGAAACAUGUGAACACAGUUCGCUGGGACAAUGAGCCGAGUUUUGAUUUAGGUCUGGAUUUCACCCCGUCACCAAAGGUGGGCAAGAAUAAGAGUGUCAGCUGUAGAUAUCAAGAUGGUGGUUAUGCUUUAUUCGGAAAUAUAUCUGAUGGGGAUGCUGCUGACAUUAACAACGGAUCUCAAGGUGUUACAUCAUCAUGCAAAUCGUGGCGAAAUGAUGGCAUCGCGGGUGGGAGUAGUGAUGGUCAAGGACCAAAUCAGUCAUCACACACCCCCAGCGCAUGUCCUUCAGACAAUUUGGGCACUCCUGCAAGUUCAGUAGCCGACUCUGUUCCUCCCUACUGGUACCUCAGUGAGCAGACAAGGUCGUCCUCACCGACAUCCGUUGAUAAGAUUAUUCAAGACUAUUUUGUAUAUGAGAAGGACACAAGGUUUACGGACAUUAUUAACCUCAACGCAAAGACUUUGGAUUUCGACGUCAGCAACUCGCCUGUGGUCAAAAGGAGAACUGUGUCACACACAAACCAUGUGGUAGGGCCAUGCAUCACUACAUUGGCCAAUCAUGAGAAGAAGGUCAUAGACGAUUUUUUCUGCUUCGUAGCAAGUAUGGAAGAAUCACAUGCAGAGAAAUGCGUGUGGAUAAUGCAUCACACACCAAGCUACAUAGAGGUGACCGCAGACCAGCUGAAGAGUUCCUUCUGCGGUAAGGUUGAUGUAGAUCACGACAUUUUUAGCCUUAUGAUUCGGAGACCGAAACAGAUAGACCACGGAGCUGCCCAAGGCGGAGAUAUGACCAGAAUAAAACAUUACAUGGAGGCUGAUCUCAUGAUGCGUGUGAUGGCAGGAGAUAUGCCAUGUCAGCAUAAAUCCAUUCGGGAUCAGUUCAUUGGAGAUCAUAUCACCUACGACGUACCAAAUUGUAUGCUGAUUAUGUUUCCGGCCUACGUCAGCUUCGCUUGGGUAUGUUACGCAAUACAUACAAUUAAAAAGAAGGUGUUCAUCUAUGACCCGACAUUAGCAUCGGAGAAUGGUGGAGCAAUCAAACAGCUACAUAUGAGAAACUGCAACCUGUUGAAGUCUGCUAUGACUGAGUUUGCAAAAACAUAUUUUGAAUCUUGGGACUUCAGGUUCGGUGAUUUAGAACCGGCUAUUAUUCAUCCUAAACGUCAAGUGUCUGAAAGGCACCUAUCUGGGUUUUACACAAUGAACUUCUGCAGGAACUUCAUCGGUGACCAAGAGACAGAUAAUAUUCAUGUGGACGAUGACAGUUCUCUGGCGGCAUAUUACCUUUACGACAUUCUACAUCUCAAGGGGAACAAUGCAAAGAGGCCACAUCAGUUCAUCGAGUCUAUCGAUGAAUGA
rnacentral:rRNA from 1 species